rnacentral:rRNA from 1 species
AGCAGUGAACUUAAGCCCCAGUAAACGGCGGCCGUAACUAUAACGGUCCUAAGGUAGCGAAAUUCCUUGUCGGGUAAGUUCCGACCCGCACGAAAGGCGUAACGAUUUGGGCACUGUCUCAACAACAGACUCGGUGAAAUUGUAAUUCCGGUGAAGAUGCCGGAUACCUGCGACAGGACGGAAAGACCCCAUGGAGCUUUACUGUAGCUUGACAUUGGGUCUUGGUACUACAUGUACAGGAUAGGUGGGAGGCUUUGAAACCAGGACGCCAGUUUUGGCGGAGCCAUCCUUGGGAUACCACCCUUGUAGUACUGGGACUCUAACCAUAGGCCAUGAAUCUGGUCUUGGGACACUGUCAGGUGGGCAGUUUGACUGGGGCGGUCGCCUCCCAAAAGGUAACGGAGGCGCUCAAAGGUUCUCUCAGUACGGUCGGAAAUCGUACGUAGAGUGUAAAGGCAAAAGAGAGCUUGAUUGCAAGACAUACAGGUCGAGCAAGGAUGAAAAUCGGACUUAGUGAUCCGGUGGUUCUGCGUGGAAGGGCCAUCGCUCAACGGAUAAAAGCUACCCUGGGGAUAACAGGCUUAUCUCCCCC